UAGUGAUUAGUUUAAUAAAAACAAAUGAUUUCGACUCAUUAGACUAUGGUUAACCAUAAUCACUAA
rnacentral:tRNA from 1 species